rnacentral:rRNA from 1 species
CUACGGGAGGCUCCAGUGGGGAAUAUUGGACAAUGGGGGAAACCCUGAUCCAGCAAUGCCGCGUGUGUGAAGAAGGCCUGCGGGUUGUAAAGCACUUUCGGUUGGGAGGACUGCUUCUAGCACUAAUAUUGUUGGAAGUUGACGUUACCUUCAGAAGAAGCACCGGCUAACUCCGUGCCAGCAGCCGCGGUAAUACGGAGGGUGCAAGCGAUAAUCGGAAUUACUGGGCGUAAAGCGCGCGUAGGCGGCUAGAUCAGUCGGGUGUGAAAGCCCCGGGCUUAACCUGGGAACUGCAUCCGAUACUGGCUAGCUUGAGUACAGGAGAGGAGAGUGGAAUUCCACUUGUAGCGGUGAAAUGCGUAGAUAUGUGGAGGAACACCAAUGGCGAAGGCAGCUCUCUGGCCUGAUACUGACGCUGAGGUGCGAAAGCGUGGGGAGCAAACAGAAUUAGAUACCCGCGUAGUC